GAAGUUGCAAGGAGAGACUGAUGGAAAAUGACAGUGACUGGACAGACAAUGAUGAUGGUGAAGAACUAUAGAAAACUUGGGAAAACUUUUAAUAGUGGCCAUCAACAAGCAGUCAUUGGUCCAGUAUUCCAGCCAAUGUAUCCGUCUCGUUAACCUUAAAGCAGGACUUGCACUUUCAUGUGGGGGAAAAACAUGAAAUGGAGAUCACUUACCAGUGCACACAGUUGACUUGAGAAGAAAUUUCUUAUCAGUCAGGAAUUGACCAAAAAGGAUGUUGAUAUUGAUGCACUUCCUCGUAGCAACUUCAGACCUACAGAUAUAUAAGGCAACAAUUAUCACUAUUGACCUAGAAAUCAUUGACCUAAUUCAAUAUGGGAAGAUGCCACAUGUCACACAAAGCUGCAUACCACAACAAAUCGCUGUAGCACAGAUUUCUAUGUCACACCUAAAAAGGAAAUUUUACCAGAGGCACAAAGGAUCACCAGGAUUGCAUGGAAUAUUCAGAAACGAUAACAAUAAAAAGUCCAACACAUCUGUACCUGGAAUUAAGGCGACUGUAGAGAAAUUGUGUUCUUGGCUUGAAAAGAUCCUAAAGUGAUUUUGGUAGCCCGUUAUGGAAGACAGUUUGAUUUUCCAGCUCUUGUCUCAUCUCUACUGUGCACAAAAAUAACUAGGACAUUAUUCAGCUGAGUUUCUUCUAAAAAGUAUUCUUUUACCAGUGUUCAAGAAACUGUACCCUACUACUUGGUAUCUGGUACAAUGCCUAUAACUGACAGACAGACAAAUUUACUAUGAAAAACUGGGAAGGCAUGCCAAGGGUUUUCAUAUGUUAAAGAAAAAUUUCAAGCAGUGACAUAUACUCAUGAUAAAUUUGGUACAAUAAUGUUCAUUAUUUUAAGUAGAAAAUGACAAUUGUAAUUGGAAAUUCGAAUUGUGUUAUUUUACUCUAUGUUUAAGAAAAUUAAUAUAUUCAAACUUGUAAAUUUUUUUCAUUUGUUAAAAUGUUUAUUAUUUAGCCAUUUCCUUGAUUAAAAAUACACAACAGACUUGUAGCUUAAGACUUUCCAAGGUUGACAAGUUAUUACUUUCUUUGAUUUUGCUUAAGUUUGUUAAUUAUUGUUAAAUACUUUUGUUCAAAAAUUAAUACUGUGUAAAAACCUUUAAUUAAUAUCAUUGAGCAACAGAUGUUAUCUUUUAAUAAUUAGUAAAGUAAGGAGAAGACAACCUUAAAAUGUUUAAAUUAAACCUAUAAGUAAAGUAUAUAAACCCCAAACUUUUAAGGAGCUAAAAGACAAAAUUUCAUUUCAACUCUUGUAAAAAAUUAACUUUGUGAUAUUUUUCUCAGUGAUAACUAGACAUUUAAUUUUAUCUGUAUAGAUUUUUGUACAGUUAAUCCAGGUGUAUACAAGACAAUAUUUAUAAAGAAUUUUAUGCCCCCUGGCAUCAGCUGAUGCGGGAGGCAUAUAGUGAUUGUCCUGUCUGUUCGUCCGUCCGUACGAGGUUAACCUAAUGGGACCGUUUUGUCUAGCAUCAGUAUCACUAACUAGAAUGACUUGAUACUAAUGCAGAUGUA
rnacentral:lncRNA from 1 species